rnacentral:rRNA from 1 species
AGUAACACGUGAGAAACCUACCCCAGAGACCGGGAUAACUAUCGGAAACGAUAGCUAAUACCGGAUAUCCCCUUCGGACCGCAUGGUCUGAUGUGGAAAUGCUCCGGCGCUCUGGGAGGGUCUCGCGGCCUAUCAGUUAGUUGGCGGGGUAAUGGCCCACCAAGGCAACGACGGGUAGCUGGUCUGAGAGGAUGGUCAGCCACACUGGGACUGAGACACGGCCCAGACUCC